rnacentral:rRNA from 4 species
UAAUUGCGCGUCUACUUGUGAACUGCAGGACACAUGAACAUCGACAUUUCGAACGCACAUUGCGGUCCUCGGAUACUGU